rnacentral:lncRNA from 1 species
AUGUAUUUCUCCAUUAGGAGAAGAACGAACUCGAAUAAGAUUUAGUUCGUUAGAUGUUAUCUGUUACCCAUAUAUAGGAUAUAUACUUCUAAAACAAUAUGAUUGUAAAUUAGAAGAUCUUCCAAUAUUUUCAUGACUCCAUAAGAUGUAGUUGGAAAGAAAGACAAAUCUCAAGCAUGUUAAGAUUUGGGGUUGUGUGCUAAUAAGCAAUAUUUGUUUGAUAAACAAUCUUGUAGGAUAUCCUUAAAUUAACUUUUGGAUAUCGCUUCUAUAAACCAACUAACAAAUGUUGUUUUGUUGGGUAGUUCAUUGUAAUCCUACAAUGUGAUUUGCCUAAGAGCAAAUGAACGAGAGAUAGAACUCAAAGAAUAGGUUCUUUGAGAGACAAGAUAGUAAUCAACAAAUAUAACAACCUAGUUCCUAUACCACAAGCUCCAAGGUAGUCGAGAAGGAUUUAUAAACCGUCUCAGUUGAAUGGUUUGAACUUUAUGACUAUGUCAUAGAGUUGCACCUCUUAAUUCGAAAGAAAUAAGAAUGAAAAUCCUUAUGACUACAUUGAGUGUAUAUAUGAUAUAUACUCAAGGAAAUGGUAAAGUACCAUUUGACUCGAAAUAAUGAAACCUUCAUAGCUAAUUGGUAGCUUAAGGUGACUACAAUCAAAGAGAUUGGUUGACUUUGAAGGAACCAAUUUUGACGUAGUCUUAGUUUCAAUUAAUUCGAAGAAUGCUAGCUACAACUAAAUGGUGAUUCAAUGUUUGGACAUAAUUUGGGUUUUUCGAAACCAUUAUUAAGAUAGUCUUGAUAAUAUAUGUCUAAAACUAUGAAUCACAAGAAUUGUAAGUUGUAGAGAUCCAUCCAUCAUGGAUCUUAGCUAGCUAGUGGGAGCUAUAAGCGUCUUAUGAGAGAAAGGUCAAAUCGUUUGCUUUCUCAUAAAGAUGUAAAUGAAUCUUUUGUUUACUAGGUUUACAAAAGAUUAGUGGGAGUUAAUCAUAUUCCUAAAUUUAUAUAUAUAUAUAUAAAUAUAUAUGUGAUAUAUAUGAAUGUAUAUAUGAUAUAUUAAUUUUGGAAAUGAAAAGAAUAUUUCUUCGUUAAAGUUAUGACUUUAAGCAUUCUAUAACGAUAUAAUGUAUAUGGGAGACAUAGUCUAUAAACAUGGGAUGGAAAUCUAUAAUGAUAGAUUUUAGGAUAUAAUUGGAUUAUAUCAAGCCCUAAAUAAUAGACAAGAGUUGCUAGGAAGUUUCUCAUAUGAUGAUAAACUUCAAUUAGAAGGAUGACUCUAGUGUGACUAGCAAGUUGCCCUUCUCAAAGGGAACGUACCCUUUGACUCCCAAAGAAAUAAUGCGUAAAUAGAAUCCUUUAUGCAUACGCAUAAAGGUGAUUUAUGUAUUUCAUAUUGUAUGAAAAACAUUGAUAUGAGUUGUACCUAGAACGGUACAAGACGAUAUCAGUGCAAGCCCAGGAUCAGAACCAUGGCAACUGUCAAGUGAGUCCUUAAGUAUUUAAGAAAUACUAAAGGAAAGAUUCCUCAAAGAAUGAGGAAGAAUUAGAGUAACGUAAUGGAAGCGUAAAUGUAUUAGAUUAUGAAUCUAAUCCAUCAUUGGAUGUUUCUUCAUUAUGAAUGAAGAGAUAAACAGAUAUCUCUUUAUUAUGACUAAAGAGAUAUUUGGAUGGAAACAUUAAAGUAAUGACUUUAGUGUGUUCCAUUAUGAAUGCAAGGUAUAUUGCCAUAUAGAAGUUUGCAACAAUGUUGUUUGGAUGGGAAAGUUCAUUUAUGAACUCUCUAUUCGGUUCCAACCAGAAAGUGUAUCUAGUGUAUCGACACUAUGACACUAAUGGGGCGAUAGCUCAAGCCAGGGAAUCAAGGUCUCAUCAAGGUCCGAACUCAAAUGAGAGACUGAACCACAUGAUUGAGAAUCAUGUAUAAUGGUGACGUCGAUAUUCUCAAGGUUGCUUCUAUGGAUAACAUAUAGAUAUCCAUUGUCUAGGCCUACUACUCAGCCAUUUAUGAAAUGACUACAGAAGAGGUAUCAUCACUGAUGACCAAGCUGAUUGGCUCUAGUGCAAGUGGGAGAUUGUUGGAAAUGUGCCCUAAAACCAAUCAUGUGAUGAUACUUUACGGACAUUUCACAUGUUAAACUAAUCUAGUUUAAUAUAAAGGGCAAAGAUUAUUGUUUGAGCCGUCUCAUAUAAAUGUUAUAUGCUUAAACGAUAAAGUCCAAGGAAUAUGUGAUUGGGAGAAUGCAAUCUAAUGAAGUUAGAUUCAUGAGACCAUUCUUUCGUAGACACAUCCUAAAUGUUCCUGAUCAUAGGAUUGCCAAUUGGGCAUUGACAGUCCGUCAAGAUCGGUACGUGCUAUGUCUUCUCUCAGGGAGAGUGAUUAGUCUCGAGUCAUUGGUGUGUGUGACAUCAAGACAAGUACGUAGGUGCUCAGUAGAGAAUGAGUUCACUGAACGCGAUUAACGAAGAGUUCUCAUACUCAUGUCACAUGAGAACUCAUGGUUGGGAUAAUGCAAAGUAGUCCUUUGACCUGAGGCAUCACAGUUGUCUUGUGGUUAAGUCCUUAAUCUUUGAUUAUGUCAAAGUCACCCUAUCGGGGUGUCCACGGCAUCGUUGGGGUUAAGCCACUUAGUCAUGGAGGCAAGUGAAUGCGCAACAAGGGAUCUCUAACCUUCAAACUGUUUGAGGGAGAAUACUCUAUGAUAUGAUUCAGAAUCUCUGGCCAGAGUAUGAAUGAGAUUUAGGAAUGCGUUCCAAAUCACAUUCAAGGUAAUCAUAUAAGCACACGAAUCACAUUGGAUAGUAGACAUGAAUAAAUAAACUAUCAAACCAAACAAUGUGGUCAAGAGUAUUAGAUUAGAGAAAGACCGUAUUGCAUUUGUAAUCCCAAACUGAAUAGGUUUUCUCUACCUCUUCUGAUUAGCUUGGGUAACCAUGAUAUGCUGCAAGGUGUCACUCAUGGUUUGUGGAAGCCUUAUACGUGUGUAAUCACUAAAGGGAGAAUUGAAAGUAAGUUUCAAUUCACAAUCGAUUUGAAAUGGUUUUAAUCGCCCACUGCCUCGCUAAAAGGAACCUAAUGGAUCGCACACCAUAAGAGGUGGAGAUUGGAGAUUAAACGGAGAUGAGUAAGAAUGAUUAAAUGGUUUAAUCAUUUAUUUAUGGCAAGGAUUAAUUAAUAUGUUAAUUAAUCAAACGAAUAAGUUCGUUAAAGACCUCGGGAUAGUUUUGGACAUUAAGGCCCAAUGGGCUUCGAACGUCAAGCCCAUAGACUUAAGUUGUAUGACAACUUAAUGAAUAAUGAUUCACAAAGGCCUAAUUAGCCCAAAAAUACCCUAGGGCCGGCCAUGAUGCUAAGGGUAGUGAACUUGGACUUAUUUACAAGUUUGCCACUCAAAUGAAUAAAGGUAUAAAUAUGACUUUAUAGCCUAAAAUUCAUUAGGGUUUGUUUUGGAGAAAAUUGGAGAGAACAUGUCUCUCCAUUUCUCUCUAAAGAGGCCGGCCACCUUGGGGGGUGCUUCUUGCAAUCCCACUACUCCAGGGUCACUCAUUUCUUCUCCAAUCUCUCCUUGGUGAAGAGACUUAGAGGUUCCCUAUUUUGGGAACUUGGAGAAACCUAUUCAUCUAUCCAUAUCCAUAGAUUUAAUAUGCAAGGAAUGAAGGCCCUCUCUUUGGGUGAUUAGCCUUUGCUUAUGCAAAGAGGAAUCUACAAAGGAAUAAAUUUCAACUCACUUUGUUUUGAGUUGAUUAAUGGUUCACCAAUCUACUAGGCUUUGAAUUUCUUGGUUAAUGUUUUGUUUUUAAGUGCAUGCUAGCAUGAUUCCGCCUUUAAUUGUUAAUUGCAUGCUAUAUGAUGUUGCUUAAAUGAACAUGUUUUCACAAAAUAUUCCUUCAAGAAUACCACUUAUUAGAAUUCCUACAAAGCCUACGCUCGUCAAGAUUCCAGAAAUGUAUGGAGUGACAACAUGGUGCUACAGGGGUAGCACUCAAUGGAAGAACACUUGGGACAAUCACUUUUGGUCCCCGAUAACACUAAUCUUACCAAACGCACUAGUGAUCAUUCCAUAUCUUUAAGAGGAAGAUCGAUUUCCGUUUAAGUUUGUCUUAAAGUAAAUUGUUAGAAAAUUCUUUCUCUGGCCUUAGGACGUUCCAGCCAACGCCAGUUCCCGAGUUUUCUUUUGUUGCUAUACUCGUCAUUUGAUGAGUAUAGGCACAUGUGUAUGAGUUGUUAUAGCUACGGUCAGUAGGAAUCCCUGAAGUAGAAAGUAUUUUCCCUAGAACUAAUGAACCACCUCCUAGGACUAAUUCAUUACCAAUCGUUCAAAACCAUUCACCCGAGCGAGCUCUAACCUGUAAUCGGCCUAUGGUGGCACUACUAAUUGGCGACACUGUCUGAUAUCUAGAAGCUAUUAACCAGUAUUCAGGUGGUAUGAUUUCUGAUACUGGACAUUUGUUAGUAUUUAGAAGUGAUACUUUUAUGCCAGGACGCCGGUUUAUAGUUUCAGGGUAGCGAACAAUAUUAAAAUAUCGUAUAUGCAUCAAUUAGCGCCUCGACUGGUAGACUGAUAGAAUGUUUUGAGGUAGACAGUAGGAUCGAAAUACAAAAUGACAUCUCACUGCUAGAAUGUUUUAAGUGACGAGAAAACUGUGAAGACUAUUUAGUUCAUGUCGUAGAGUUGUUAAUAGUUCAGUACGUUUCGAGGAUGUAUAUCUUUGGCAUCAUUUCUCAAAAUUCUACUUGAGAUGCCACCAUGUGCGAGAAGUAGAAUACACCAGUGAUUCACCUUCUUAACACCACAUUUAUUCUCCCUAUUUCUUAUCGAACCACUUCUAUAUCAGUUUUCCUUGUGACUUUUCGAACGAGUCCUACUUUAUUGAGAGAACUUAGUCACUAAAGCUUACCGAUUAGAGAAUUACCCAACUAAACACUUUAUGUAGGGGACUUCAAAUCUAUUCGAGAAGGCGUAAGAUUGAACAGUAGGUUUGUGCCUAGACUUUAGCAGCUUGAUCGAGUGAUGAUUAAAAAUUGUGUAAACCCUACUUCGAACUGAUGGUUUAGUCGAUUAACCUUUGUAACCCAAGUUUGCCUCUAUGGUCUGAUGAAUUUUUAGUGGUUUUAUCGGUGAUCUUCUUAUCUACCUCGACAGUGAAACCAAAUUCUUUAAGCUCUAUUAGUCAUCUUUAUACCAGAUUCCUCGACUGUAAACUUUGAUUAAAAUGAUACUCUUCUUGGGAGACGUGAUCUCAGUGGAUGAGAUUCUUCUUUUUCCCAAAAAGGUUGUAGCGGAAGAAAGUUGACAUUCUCACAAAGUGUUCUGAAUUCGAGAUAUCCUUAGUCUUGUCGAUUUUAUCGACAAUUUGUUAGUGAUUCUUUGAUUAUAAUAUCCUUCCUCACCUUUCGACUGAAGAAAGUUUAGUUUGGAAAGUUGGAUAUGAAUAAAUUUUUUGACAACCGAAUUGUUGUCUCACCUUACCAUCGCUUACACUCUUCGAUGACGUUGAACUUUUUGAAAAUUCAUGCUGACGUGUCCUUGGAUGUUUCAGCUAUGUAGAGGCAGCAUAGCGAAUUAUCACUUAUAUUUCCAGUGUGUAGAACUAUUUGGAAAGAGCCAUCUUAUCUAUGACCUAGAGUCAACAUUUACCAUCUUUGCUCGGAAAUUGAAUGACAUUUCUUUGUGGAGAACGUGUCCAAAAUCUUUAUCAACUUUAGAUUUUUCAAGUACAUAUUCAUCUGAAAAGAAUCAGAUUUCUGACUGCGAUAGUGGAAGAAUCUGAAAGACGUCUACUCUUACACUAUUGUACAUCAUCCUGUUUAUGCAAACUUAGUUACUGUUUACCACCGCAAAAUAUAUAAUUAUCCUUGAUCACUUCCAGCCAUUUCUAUUCCAUUUCAGCUAGAGUUCACCAUUAUUGAUUUGACAUUAUUUAUGGAUUAUCAAGAAUUGUUCGAAUGAUUAUAAUCACUUCUUGUAUUCGAUCAGAGAUGGGGAAUCAUCACUAUAAACUCCCUAUAUGAGCUCUUUUGUACAUAUAGAGAAUGUGAAAAUCAAUAAUCAUGAUGCUAAACUAAUGCUACGUCUAGGUGGUGUUUCAAUUGGUGGUAGCUUUACUCAAGUGGAAGGCAGUGUUCUUCCAGCCCCAAAGCUUAAAGUCGGUAAUGGUGAAAACUUCUUUCCUUAAAAUGGGCACUAGAAUUUCAACAACAAGACACUAGUGAAACCAACUAAGAUAGAAUAGUAAGUUGUUAUUAAUUUCUCUACACCCUGGGAUCUAAAAACCCUUGUUCGCGAUCUAAUCAAAUGUGGAGAUAUGAAAGGAAUUAAAACUGAGGCUCCACUAGAGGUGUUUGAAAAGAAUUCUCGGUCUAGGCGCGCCCCGCCUUUGGUUAGAGUAGAAAGGAUGAUUGAGGAAAUAAAGUCCAAACUUCCUAGACAACCACAGUUUCUACUCUAUUUGCUUUCAGAUGAUGAUGGCAUUAUGAGAGAGCUGCUUCUAGACUUCUGUGCUAGUUUAGGCAAACAGAAACCCGACAAGAUUAUCAUCUUGGCGUAUAUAUAUCUCAUCGUGCUACGCGUUUCACUUGUAAGCCUUUGGAAGUCUUUAUGAAGGUUAUGAGUAUUAGAUUUUGUUUAGUAUCACAGUUCCACUCCUAGACUAACGACUAGACUAAAAUGAGUUACUCAGACCUUGGUGGACGUAUUGCAUUUUGUUCUUCCCACCAUUAGUUUUGUUGCAACAUAACAUUAUCUUUAUUUUAGUUGUUGGUAGCUAUGGUUACAAUUUUGGUUUAUCUAUGGUACUAUUGGGGGCUGAUAUGCAAAGAUUUUAUGCCGGUACAUGAUUGGUAGACACUUACUCUUGUUAGAGUUAUGCGUAACUGCGGUUACAUUCCUAGUUAUGAGCAUAGCAUCAUUUGAGUAAUGGUAUAAAUAUUUAUGCACAAUAUGUGAUAUUUAGAAGAGAAUUAUGAACAGGUAUUUGAAUGAUCGAGAUUGUGACAUGGAAAUUUUAUGAUAUUGACUAUGUUGCCUGAGAAGGUAGUGCGUGAGUGCAAUGGAGGUUUUAUUCAGGCAAUGUAUGUGUAUUUCCCAAUGAGGGGCAAUAUGGUAAUAUUGCACCCUCAGAAAUUCCUUACUUUCUUGUCGAGACGACAGUGAGUUAUUGGUAUUGCGGGUUGCAGACUAUAAUAUCAAUAACUUAUUGUUGGGUUCGUUAAGCAAGUGGGCAACUAGGUUCGUUUACAAGAGCAUAAGUGAAAUCUUUCGAUGUUCGGUCUUUGAUUUCAGUACAAUUACUUUAACUUUACGUUAUUAUAUAUAUAUACAUAUACGUAAUUUGGCGUUAUGUUUUUACAUAUCUAUUUUUGACUUGAUAUUUUCGUAAAUGGUUUUAUAUUGAAGUAUUGUACUGAGGGAGAAGAAACGUAUGAGCUUGGAGGCAUGAAAGUGGAAUAAUUGCAAUCCAAUCGCGAUGGAAUGACAUUCUCUUUUAUGCAACGGCUCUAACUUGAUACCUCAUUCACGUAUUUAUUUUUCCACUAUCUUUUCACUACUUCGGUCUAGCAAAUGGUUUUAAAUUUCGGGGACAAAUUUUUUUUAAGGUGGUGGAUUGUAACGACCCGUCCCUAAAAAUUAUAGUUUUUAUAAAUUUAAAAGUGAAUUUACAAAAAUGACCUUCGAGGCAAAUGCGUUGACUUCGUUUGACCGCCUUGUUGUGUCAUGUAAGAUUUGUUUUCUUGGCAUAUCCUCGUAGUACUCAUCACUACGGACUAUGAGCGCAAGCGGAAUGUAAUUUGGAAUUAUAACGAAGAUUUUGUGAACCUUUAAACAUCGAGGGUAUUUUGGUAAUUUGCCAUACAAAACACAUGUGAUAUUUUGUCUGACCAUUGGAUGAGUGCCACAUCGGGCCACCCCUACUUUUCGGGAACACUAUCUCUCUUUCUUUUUCUUCUUAUUUUGUAGCUCUUCUCUUGAACUUUCUCUUGGCUCUCCCUUUCUCCCAUGAAACAAACCACCAUCAUCACCAAAAAUUUCGGCUUCUUGAACAUCAAAACCACCAUUAUCUGCAUGUCUUCACCACCAUAAACCCAGUUUUGAGUUUUGUUUCAUUGAAAACGAAUCCUAACCUCGAGUUCAAAGAACAAGGUUUUGGGCUGAGACUUCUAGGCGUGACAAUUCCUCGUCAUUUUUUUACUUAAAAUAGGUAUGAAUCGAUUCCUCAUGUUGUGUAGAUGAAUUUUCAUGUUUGGAUCGUGUGAUUUGGUGGAGAAAUGAGAAAGCCAUAAUGAUUUUAAGGUACCAAUCUCUUCUUCUCAUCGAGAACUAUGAUUUCUAUUUUUGAAUCACUUGAUUUCGUUGUGUAUUGACAAAGUUAUGGACGUUGAAAGGUUUCCUAGAAAUUCUGGUGAAUUUCCCUGUUUUCCUGUGGAUAGCGAUCUUUCAGGCCAUUUUCUGGCCAUCUCUGGUGACCAUUCGGACUCCAAAUGGGUCAAAUUUGGUAUAUUAUGGGUCGAAUUUGUUCUACACUUAUCUAGCUUCGUUUUGGUAUAUUAUGGGUCGAAUUUGGUUGACAAACAAGUGAGAUAUGGAGUUCCAAAGAUUGCCCAGAAAAUCUGCAAAAUUUGCAGAAUCCGACGAAAUUUUGUUAAGGUCUGCCACUGGAACAUUAUAGCAAUCGACAAUCUGACCGUUGGACCGUCACUAAACUUUAAUACAUUAUAGUUCGUAAUAUUUGAGAAUGUAGGAACAUACGGAUUUUCCUGAAUUGGAUUUGUAAGUUAAUAAAACAAAAUGUUAACCGCCACUUGAAUUUGCAAUUGGCAGAAAUAUAGCAGCUUGAUCGUAAUGAAACUUUAGUAUGUUAUUCUAGAAGAAUAAUGUGGAUUUUUGGAAGUUACGGAUCCGAAAUUUGAGAUACGGAUUUUCCAGAUCGAGUUACCUAGUGUUGUGGACCCUACCGUCGAUCUUUGACCAACGAUUGACUUUUGGUCAAUGGGUCUCAAAUCAUUCUAGAUCGUCCUUGGGGAUGUGUUUUAUGUAAAUUGCAUGUUCUAUCAGUAAGGAUUAUGAGAUGUGAUUUGAUAAUUAUUCUACGGGCCGAUUGUUCGUGACGCCUCUAUGUUUGUGCUAGGGAGUUGUAGCACGGGCUCCAGGUGAGUGAGCUUUUGGUUUUCUAUAUAUACAUAUGUAUGCUUUGUUUUUUCCUAGAAAUUAUUUUAAAUGAAAUGUGAUUGAAAUGCCAUGUCAUACUUGUGUUAUAUUUUAGUAUAUGUAUUAAUGUAGUUAUGCAUAGUGUUGCAUGAUGUUGUGGACGCUCAAGUAAGCUUUAGGUGAGUAUAUAUUGAUGGCAGUAGGGGUGAGUGCGGUGCGGUUGGAUGUGGUUUUGAGUGAAACCACAACUGAAACAAAAACUUUUUACGGUGCGGUGCGGUUUUGAAGCCAAAACCAAAAUGAAACCAAAUCGUUUGUUUCGGUUGGGUGCGGUUUCAAACGGUUUCGGUUUGGUUUUUGAGAAAAAGAUGUACAAUUUAAAAUACACACUUAUUUAUGCAUAAGAUGGUCUUAUUUUCCUCAUAUAUUAAUUAAGACGGUCUUAUGUCCUAACUUUGAUUAAUAUUAAUACUUACUAAAGUAAUGUCCUAACUUUGAAUUUCAAUGCCAUCGUAUUAAUGAGUUUUUUUUUUUUUUGUCAGAUUGGCAUGUUGAAUUCAAUGCCAUAAUCCACCAGUGCUCCAAAAUAGAACAGAACAAAAUAAUUCAAUGCCAUAAUCUACUAGAGAACAACAAAACAGAAAUAAACAAACGAAGAAAGAAAGUGCUAAUGUUGUUUUGUUAUUCCAGCCCCCUCAAAUUCAAUAUGACUGAUGCUCAUUGUCAUUGCUCAGUGCUUACAACAGAAAUAAACAUAUCCAGUAAAUAUUUGUUUAUUUAGGCUCAAAGUGAGUUGCUUAUUUGAAUCACAUAUCCAGUAAAUAUUUGUUUGAGUUACUGUAGUCUCCAUGAUGAAACUUGUAUGAUUCCCAACCCAAUAAACACAUAUUUAGAAAAUGUAACAGCUUGUUUAUAAGGAUUCCCCAACUGACAAAAAAAAGGUCAGAGAACAUGUUUCAUCGCGUCCCAUAUUAAAGAUUCAAAACUAGAUGAUAAUGAUAGUCUAGUAACCUAGUUGAACUAAUUAAAAGUUUAAAAUAUAACAUUUAUUUAUUAAUUUUAUUAUAUGGUGCAGUUUUGGUUUUGGUUUCGGUUUCGGUGCGGUUUUGAAAAUCCAAAAUCGAAACCAAACCGUUUUCUUUGCCGCGGUUCGGUUUUAAAACCGAAAUCGUUUCAAAAUCACAAAACCAAACCGUUCGGUGCAGUUCGAUUCGAUUCGUGUUUCGGUUUUGAUUUUUGGUUCCAAGUGACCACCCCUAGAUGGCAGCGAUUGUAGUGUGCAUGAUUAUGAUAAGUUGCAUUUAGUGAUUAAUUUCUUGCACCUCGGUGUUAGUGCUCUGCCCGUGGCCAGGGCCUAGCCUUCACGUGAUCAUUCACCUCUUGCACCACAGGCUCACCUUGGAUCCAAGGUAGGUGCCAGCCUGUCGUACAGACAACAUUAGUUGUUUCCGACUCGUAGGUGACUUACAAUACUUCGCAUAACCUUCACGUGAUCGUAGCACUUGAGCGUAUUCAUUUACACUUAGACUGUUGUACAGACCAUAUUAGGUGGUUCCGACUCGUGUGCAGGAUUUGAUUGAUGAGCUAUGGACUUAGUUGUACAGGUUACGUUAUGUGACUUCGGCUGAUAUGUCAUUUUAUAUUGAUUCAUUUCACCUAGCUUACUUAUUCGUUGUUGAGAUAAUUGACAUGGCAUACACCUAGUUUCACUCCUCUCGAGCAUAGUUCUUAUAUAUGUAUGUAGUAUUAUUUUCUGGGAAAUUAUACAGGUUUUAUGGUGAGGGGUUAUUACUUUUGGAAAGAUAAAUUGUUUUUUUACAAGCUUCAUUUUGCGCCCCUCCAGUUUUAGCUGCUGAAAGUUCGUAUCAAUGAGGAUUCAUGGCGAAUCUAGUACAAGUGGCUACCUUUGAGGCUAUGAUCUUUACCCACAUUAUUGUACUUUACUUAUGCUCUGACGACACGUGUGGAAUGGGUGCAUACCCGCUCACCAGCGCAUUCUGAUAUUUUAGGCAUUCUUAGGUUUAAAUUUAUUCACAUUUCCAUAUAACUGCACUUUAUGGCUUCGUCGCCUUCCUGGUGUCGACCAGCAUAGCUCAAUUUGGAGUCGUAAUGGACAUUCCGGGUCAAGGUGUGUCAAUAUACAAACGAGUUUGACGGUUGGAUCGUUGAAACUAGUUUCAUACAAUGCGUAUCCCAUCAAUUUCAAUGGUAUAUAUAUUUCUUAAGUAGACUUAAAUUUAUUUAUUUUGUACAUAUAACACUUAUGAAAUUGAAAAAUAUGUGUAUUUAUCAAGUAGUUUUAAAUUCAAGGAAAACGAACGAAAAGUCCAAAAAAACUUCAUUUUUAAUGAAAAGCCCUUUUUAAAGGUAUAAUGAAUAGUGACAGUUAAAGGUAAAAAUGUGGUUUUUCGUUAAAAGUGAACAGUACCGGAAGUGUUUUAUUAAAACUGUAAGAUCCCACAUUGCCUAGGGGAGUGAUCCUUAUAUGUAUAAUCCCAUCCCUACCUAGCACAAGGCCUUUUGGGAGCUCAUUGGCUUCGGAGUUCAUCGGAACUCAAAAGUUAAGCGAGUAGCGCACGAGAGCACUCCCAUGAUGGGUGACCCACUGGGAAGUUCUCGUGUGAGUUCCCAAAAACAAAACCGUGAGGGCGUGGCCGGGGCCCAAAGAGGACAAUAUUGUGUUACGGUGGUGGAGCGGGCCCGGGAUGUUGUGGACCCCAAGUCGGGAUGUGACAAUUUGGUAUCAAAGCCUAACCCUGGCCGUGGUGUGCCGACGAGGUCGUCGGGCCCCUUAAGGGGGGUGGAUUGUAAGAUUCGACAUCGCCUAGGGGAGUGAUCCUUAUAUGUAUAAUCCCAUCCCUACCUAGCACGAGGUUUUUUGGAAGCUCACUGGCUUCGGAGUUCAUCAGAACUCAGAAGUUAAGCAAAUAGUGCACGAGAGCACUCCCAUGAUGGGUGACCCACUGGGAACUUCUCGUGGAAGUUCCCAAAACCAAAACCGUAAGGGCUUGGUCGGGGCCCAAAGCGGACAAUAUCGUGCUACAGCGGUGGAACGGGCCCCGGAUGUGGUAGACCUCGAGUCGGGAUGUGACAAAAACUCCCUUAAAUUUAUUGUAGUUCGGGUCGGGUUUUUUGUUAUAAAAUAUAUUAUUGUGGGUUUUAUUUAAAAAAUUUGAAUUUGAAGGGAGUAAAGUCACAUGUUCAGUACAUUUUAUAAUGUUUUUUAAACAAAAUACCUUGUACGGCGCCACAAUGUAGUGGUCACGUAAAAAGCCUUUGCGCGACGCCAAAAUGUAAACCUGCGUUGCAUUACGUGUGAUAAUUUUGGAGGUACAGUUGUUAAAAAUAGGCAGUUUGUUUAAAAUUUCGCUAUUUGUGAUAAACCCAAAGUCUUUCUUCUCACUCGGUCUCCUGAUCUCUGUUCCCUCGCUCAUAUCGCCCUCUUUCCCUCUCGCUCACUCGGUCUCUUUCUUCCCUCUCACUCAUGUCGACUUCCUCCUCAUCCUUCAUUCUCAUCCUCUCUCGACUGCACCAGGUCAGAAUCAAGCUUAAUUCUUUAUUUUUCUUCUUUCUAAGUUCAUAAUCAAGCUUUAAUGCCUUAAUUUGAAGAUUUUGGUAUUGUUCUAUUUGGGAAAUUAAAUUAGAAAUUAGGGGUUUUAGUGUUAAAUCGAAUAUUAGGGUUUUAGUGUUAGAUCAAAUUUUAGGGUGGUGGGUUGGUGUGCUAUGGUGUUAGUUUUCUAGUGUUUUUUCUCUGCUUCUUCACAAAUUUCGUAUUUUACUCGUUUUCUCUCUAAUCCUAAUGUUAAUUUAACUAAAUGGUGACUACUUACAAGUUCAUAUUUUUGCUACUGAAAAAGUUGAGAGCUAUUGAAAUGUUACUACUUACAAGUUCAUAUUUUUGCGGUAUUUUUCAUUGUAGUCCUUGCAACCUUCUCAUUCUUGAACAUUAUAUAUGAUCAUGCUCUACAAUGAGUAGCCCAUUCUGGCAAGGCUAUGCCUUUAUUUCUAAAGUGCAAAGUUGACUUGGUAAUUAAGAUGCCUUGCAUUUAAGAAACCAAGCGUAGAUAACAGCUUAGAUGAGAAGUUUUUAGUUCGCCAUCCUGAUAUUCGAUACACACAAUUGGUAUAGUAUGCCGGUGUCUCACAGUAGUUUGGAAAUUACCAUUGCUGCAAAAUAUGUAAGUUGUUGUGAGGGAUGUUUGCAGCAAACAUACGUUGUUCUUUAGGUUUAGGAUUUGCGAAGUUCUUCGCUAAAUUCUUUGGCUAAAUAUAUACCAUAUAGUCAGUUACCAAACAAAUUUGAUCCAAUAAGUUGUCAGAUGUUCCUAAUUGUUGUGAACAUAAGGCUUCAUUUAGAAACAGAAAUGAAUGAUUUGUGUAAUUUAACUAAAUGGUGACUCAAAAUAAUCAUUAUGGAAAACAUGAUUGAGUUCAGAAUAUAUAUGCAAUGGGGUUUAUUGUUCUAUGGUUAAGGAAUCACAGUCAUCUCAGUACUAGGAAUGUGAUGCGAGCAUGGAUGCAGGUGGACUAUUUUAGCCAAUAAGGCCUUGCCUUCCCUUGAUGUGCUAUGCAUCUUAUGUUUUUAGUCUCUGAAGUAAGUCUCAGUAUACAAACGUAAUUGAUUACGAUGCGAAUCUGUAGAUUCUAGGUUUCUAUCUCAUUCUUUGUAAACAUAUGCAUGCAAACACAACCACCUAUACAUUUGUUUUUACUAUAAGGAUUUGGCAUCAUCUUGGUGUACAGAUCUUACAAAUUUGUCUUACACUUUCAUUUCUUUGAAUGGGGUAUCAUCUUUCUAGAAUACUUAAUAUGGGCAUCUAGAAUCCUCACCAAUUUCUGUCUUACACUUUCAUUUCUUUAAAUGGGGUAUCACUUUCUCGGCAACCAAACACAUCUCCAGGUCCUUGAACUCUUUACAGUGAUGAAUUUUUUUCUAACAUUUGAUUUGGGGUUAUCGAAUUUCAGGGUAUCAGAAGGUAGAUAAAGGGAAAUCUAGUCUCUACGCUCUUAUUUAUACUCAGGUACUCAAUUUCUUUCCCUCUCUCUGUCCCUCUUCACUGUUGUCUCUGUAAUUUCUUGAACCAUUGGUUUUUUAAAUAAUCUUGUAUUGAUAUUAUUGUUCUAAUUACUUAUAUUACUUUGGUUGUUAAUUUAUUAGUUUCAAAUGCAAGAAAGGAUUAGUUUGUAAUGUUAUAUUUUUAUUGUUCAAAAGUGUAUAGAUGUUGGAGUUGAUCACUCGUCGUCGGAGUGUGACCAAUACGGCUCACGCAUUAUUAGCAUCUACUGCUUUAGGCGUGAGUGCUCCAUUGAUUGGGGAGCCUACACCUCUUACUAAGGCUAUGUUGGAAAUGUGCCCUAAAACCAAUCAUGUGAUGAUGCUUUACGGACAUUUCACAUGUUAAACUAAUCUAGUUUAAUAUAAAGGGCAAAGAUUAUUGUUUGAGCCGUCUCAUAUAAAUGUUAUAUGCUUAAACGAUAAAGUCCAAGGAAUAUGUGAUUGGGAGAAUGUAAUCUAAUGAAGUUAGAUUCAUGAGACCAUUCUUUCGUAGACACAUCCUAAAUGUUCCUGAUCAUAGGAUUGCCAAUUGGGCAUUGACAGUCCGUCAAGAUCGGUACGUGCUAUGUCUUCUCUCAGGGAGAGUGACUAGUCUCGAGUCAUUGGUGUGUGUGACAUCAAGACAAGUACGUAGGUGCUCAGUAGAGAAUGAGUUCACUGAACGCGAUCAACGAAGAGUUCUCAUACUCAUGUCACAUGAGAACUCUUGGUUGGGAUAAUGCAAAGUAGUCCUUUGACCUGAGGCAUCACAGUUGUCUUGUGGUCAAGUCCUUAAUCUUUGAUUAUGUCAAAGUCACCCUAUCGGGGUGUCCACGGCAUCGUUGGGGUUAAGCCACUUAGUCAUGGAGGCAAGUGAAUGCGCAACAAGGGAUCUCUAACCUUCAAACUGUUUGAGGGAGAAUACUCUAUGAUAUGAUUUAGAAUCUCUGGCCAGAGUAUGAAUGAGAUUUAGAAAAGUCGUUCUAAAUCACAUUCAAGGAAAUCAUAUAAGCACACGAAUCACAUUGGAUAGUAGACAUGAACAUAUAAACUAUCAAACCAAACAAUGUGGUCAAGAGUAUUAGAUUAGAGAAAGACCGUAUUGCAUUUGUAAUCCCAAACUGAAUAGGUUUUCUCUACCUCUUCUGAUUAGCUUGGGUAACCAUGAUAUGCUGCAAGGUGUCACUCAUGGUUUGUGGAAGCCUUAUACGUGUGUAAUCACUAAAGGGAGAAUUGAAAGUAAGUUUCAAUUCACAAUCGAUUUGAAAUGGUUUUAAUCGCCCACUGCCUCGCUAAAAGGAACCUAAUGGAUCGCACACCAUAAGAGGUGGAGAUUGGAGAUUAAACGGAGAUGAGUAAGAAUGAUUAAAUGGUUUAAUCAUUUAUUUAUGGCAAGGAUUAAUUAAUAUGUUAAUUAAUCAAACGAAUAAGUUCGUUAAAGACCUCGGGAUAGUUUUGGACAUUAAGGCCCAAUGGGCUUCGAACGUCAAGCCCAUUGACUUAAGUUGUAUGACAACUUAAUGAAUAAUGAUUCACAAAGGCCUAAUUAGCCCAAAAAUACCCUAGGGCCGGCCAUGAUGCUAAGGGUAGUGAACUUGGACUUAUUUACAAGUUUGCCACUCAAAUGAAUAAAGGUAUAAAUAUGACUUUAUAGCCUAAAAUUCAUUAGGGUUUGUUUUGGAGAAAAUUGGAGAGAACAUGUCUCUCCAUUUCUCUCUAAAGAGGCCGGCCACCUUGGGGGGUGCUUCUUGCAAUCCCACUACUCCAAGGUCACUCAUUUCUUCUCUAAUCUAACCUUGGUGAAGAGACUUUGAGGUUCCUUAUUUUGGAAACUUGGAGAACCUAUUCAUCCAUCCAAAUCCAUAGAUUUAUUAUGCAAGGAAUGAAGGCCCUCUCUUUGGGUGAUUAGCCUUUGCUUAUGCAAAGAGGAAUCUUCAAAGGUGAAUCAAAUGUAGAUCUCUGCGAAAGCGUGAAUCAAAUGAGAGAAGAGAAAGUACUUCACAUUGGAAACAUGAAUCAAAUGUAGAUCUCUGCGAAAGCAGAUGGUACUUACUUCCUCAUAUGAACUACCAAAGAAAUUGGAAAAACAUAGAUUGUCUUUAUAUUCCAAUUUUAAGGAACUAAAUUCCGUCACUAUGUGAAAUGGAUAAAUGUUUUGUUUGACAAAACAUUGUUCUUUAUUAAUCAAUGAUUGGAUUAUGGUAAUCUAAUUGAUUGUCUCUAUAAGUAGAGAUGAUAUGGUAGUGUUAACUGUUUAGAAUAUAAUGAUGCUUAAAACCCAAAAGGUUGCAAGGUAGUGACUAAUCCCAACCAAAGUUGUGAUACCUCUAAAACAUAAAUUACGAGUUGGUCAUAGAUGGACGCUUUGGAUCGUUAGAUCCGGAUCCAAUACCUUCUUGUUAAAAUUGUAUAGAGGCGAAAUGUUCGAAUCUUUAUUCUUUUGGAAAGAAGAAAGAAUCACAAAGUUGUUGAGGUUAAUUCACUUAGAUGUUAGUGGCACUUGUCCACAAACAUAAUACUACUCAUGUUAUAUGACAUUCACCGAAGAUCACUCUCGGUUGGACUAUAGUUUAUUUUGAAUAAACACAAGUCCGAAUACUUUGCAAAAGGUUUCAAAGAAUUCAAGAAAUGUAAGUUGAUGAGUAAGACGUCUAAAGUAUUUACCUCCUUAGAUUUGAUCCAAGAUAAGGUAACACUUUAGAACAGUUUCCUUGAAAGAUAUCAAGGAAAUAAGCAUCAUAAGAUAAUGUAUUUCUCCAUUAGGAGAAGAACGAACUUGAAUAAGAUUUAGUUCAUUGGAUAUUAUCAAUUACCCAUAUAUAGGAUAUAUACUUCUAAGACAAUAUGAUUGUCAAUUAGAAGAUCUUCCAAAUUUUUCAUGACUCCAUAAGAUGUAGUUGGAAAGAAAGACAAAUCUUAAGCAUGUUAAGAUUUGGGGUUGUGUGCUUAUAAGCAAUAUUUGUUUGAUAACAAUCUUGUAGGAUAUCCUUAAAUUAACUUUUGGAUAUCGCUUUUAUAAACCAACUAACAAAUGUUGUUUUGUUGGGUAGUUCAUUGUAAUCCUACAAUGUGAUUUGCCUAAGAGCAAAUGAACGAGGGAUAGAACUCAAAGAAUGGUUCUUUGAGAGACAAGAAAGUAAUCAACAAAUAUAACAACCUAGUUCCUAUACUACAAGCUCCAAGGUAGUCAGGAAGGAUUUAUAAACCGUCUCAGUUGAAUGGUUUGAACUUUAUGACUAUGUCAUAGA